GCGUUGUGGCUCAGGGGUAGAGUACUCGCCUCACAUGUGCGGGACCCUGGGUUCAAUCCUCAGAACCACACA
rnacentral:tRNA from 1 species